rnacentral:tRNA from 1 species
GCGGAGUACGCCGCCGAUCAUGGGCGUACGAAGAUCCACAGACUUGGAAAGCGUGUUGGUGGCAACGCCUCACGAGUUCGAAUCUCGUAUCCUCCGCA